rnacentral:ncRNA from 1 species
GUUCAAACGAGGAAGGGUUUAUGGUGGAUACCUAGGCACCUAGAGAUGAUUAAGGGUGUGGUAAGCGAUGAAAUGCUUCGGGGAGUUGAAAAUGAGCAUAGAUCCGGAGAUUCCCGAAUAGGUUAACCUUUUUAACUGCUGCUGAAUCCAUGGGCA